rnacentral:lncRNA from 10 species
CUCAAAGCUGAGGACUGGGAGGCACGAGUGCUGCCUGCCUCACUGUCAUCUCACGUGGGCUGAGGAUGAAGCCAAUCCCGGAUGAGGAGGAAACAUGUGCAAUGAAGAGAAAUGGAAUUGUCGGGGCAUCAUCUGAACAUCCACCAACCCAUACCUGGAAGAGUUCCUCCCUCUGGCUUUUUUAGUUCCGAACCCAACCUGUUACAGUUGGUGCUGAACAUGAGUCAGGAAAGCAGACACUGGGGUGGAGAGGUUGGAGCUGAACCACCUGCUGCUCAGCUGGCAAUGAGACGCCUGGCACCGAUCGCCCCUGGCCCAGGUGAUGAAGGAUGCUGGACUUGUGAAAGAAAUUCAUUAACUGGUGUGAUGUGUCAGUGUGACAGAUUUGAGAAAGACGGGGGUGGAGGGUCGGGGGGCGGAAGUAAUAUAACAGUUGAACUGGGUGGCUAUUGUUAAACCCACUUGAUCUGGAAAGCAAUAACAAAAAGCUAAGCGUGAUUAAUCAGCAAUUAAAGGCUAACGUGAAAGCCAGAGGCCCUUCUGUUGGCGUUUAAAGAGGCUCUCAUCUGCACCAGGAGGACGGAGAAAGCAGAAACCAGGCUCAGGAUCCACAGAAGAUGCAACUCCAACCAAGGCAGGUCUACUGUGCCAAGGCCAGGGCCCUGGUUAGAAGAGAGCGCAACCCUGUGGCCUGCCACAGUGGCUCACACUUGUAAUCUCAGCACUUUGGGAGGCCGAG